rnacentral:rRNA from 1 species
GCCAAACAGCUAGCUUAAAACACCCAAACAACACCCAACAUUGAUAACCUAUCAUUAAACCACCACAACACAAACUAAAACAUUCUACCGCCCCAGUAUGUGAGACAGAAAAGGCACCAAUUAAGCCAUAGUAACAGUACCGCAAGGGAACGCUGAAAAAGAAAUGAAACAAAUCAUUAAAGCACAACUAAGCAGAGAUUAACCCUCGUACCUUUUGCAUCAUGAUUUAGCUACCCCCCCCCCCCGAGCAAAGUGGACUUUAGUUCAAGACCCCGAAACUAAGUGAGCUACUCCGAGACAGCCUAUCAAUUAGGGCCAACCCAUCUCUGUGGCAAAAGAGUGGGAAGAUCUCCAAGUAGCGGUGACAGACCUAUCGAACUUAGUUAUAGCUGGUUGCCUAAGAAAUGAAUAUGAGUUCAGCCUCGCACUCCUUAACUCAAAUAGUUUAAAACCUCAAGCCACUCGAGCAACUCGAACCAACCCAAACAGCUUGCAAUUUAACGAGCCAAAGAAACAUGCGAGAGUUAUUCCUAAGGGGUACAGCCCUUAAGAAACAGAAUACAACCUCACCAGGAGGUUAAAGAUUAUAUUAAACAAGACAUACUGCUCUAGUGGGCCCAAAAGCAGCCACCUAAACAGAAAGCGUUAAAGCUCCAGCAAAACAAAAUUCUAUUAUUUAAAUAUUAAAUCUAAAACCCCUAGCUCUAUUAGGCCACCCCAUGCCCACAUGGAAGAGAUAAUGCUAAAAUGAGUAAUAAGAAGGAGAAACCCCCUUCUCCAAGCCUACGUGUACGCUAGUCCGAACCCGCCACUAGCAAUUACCCGAACCCAAGCCACAGAGGGAAAUGUGACCACACCAAAUACCAAGAAGUACUCACACAACCCAAUCGUUAACCCAACACCGGAAGGCUAUGAAGGAAAGACUAAAAGAUAAGGAAGGAACUCGGCAAACACUGAGCCCCGCCUGUUUACCAAAAACAUCGCCUCCUGCAAAAAUCAAAGUAUUGGAGGUCAUACCUGCCCAGUGAAAAGUUUUAAACGGCCGCGGUAUUUUUAACCGUGCGAAGGUAGCGCAAUCACUUGUCUUUUAAAUAAAGACCUGUAUGAAUGGUAAGACGAGGGCUCAACUGUCUCCCUUUUCAAGUCAAUGAAAUUGAUCUGCCCGUGCAGAAGCGGGCAUAAAAAUACAAGACGAGAAGACCCUUUGGAACUUAAGACAUUGAGACCACCUAUAUCAAUUGACCUCCAACAUCAGUUUAAAUCUAAUAGUAAUUGGUCCCAGUCUUUGGUUGGGGCGACCGCGGAAGAAAACAGAGCUACCGCGCAGAUGGGGUAACCCCCUAAAAUCAAGAGAAACAUCUCUAAAUAACAGAAUUUCUGACCUCGAAGAUCCGGCAUCUGCCGAACAACGAACCAAGCUACCCAAGGGAUAACAGCGCAAUCCCCUUUCAGAGCCCAUAUCGACAAGGGGGUUUACGACCUCGAUGUUGGAUCAGGACAUCCUAAUGGUGCAACCGUUAUUAAGGGUUCGUUUGUUCAACGAUUAAAGUCCUACGUGAUCUGAGUUCAGACCGGAGCAAUCCAGGUCAGUUUCUAUCUGUAACGCUACUUUUCCUAGUACGAAAGGACCGGAAAGAGGGGGCCCAUGAUAUUAACUACGCCCCACCCCAAUUUAAUGAAGACAACUAAAUCAAAUAGGGGGAGCAUAACCCACAAAUCUAGAUAAGAUU